UGAGGAAUAUUGGACAAUGGAUGGAAAUCUGAUCCAGCCAUGCCGCGUGCAGGAAGACGGCCCUAUGGGUUGUAAACUGCUUUUGUAUGGGAGCAAUAAGGUCUAUGCGUAGACUGAUGAGAGUACCAUACGAAUAAGCAUCGACUAACUCCGUGCCAGCAGCCGCGGUAAUACGGGGGGUGCAAGCGUUAUUCGGAAUUAUUGGGCGUAAAGGGUGCGUAGGCGGUUUUGUAAGUCAGAUGUGAAAUACCGGGGCUUAACUUCGGAACUGCAUUUGAUACUGCGAGACUUGAGUAUGGGAGAGGAGAGCGGAAUUCCUGGUGUAGAGGUGAAAUUCGUAGAUAUCAGGAGGAACACCGGUGGCGAAGGCGGCUCUCUGGACCAAUACUGACGCUGAGGCACGAAGGCGUGGGGAGCAAACA
rnacentral:rRNA from 1 species